rnacentral:misc_RNA from 1 species
GCAAACUUGGUCAUUUAGAGGAAGUAAAAGUCGUAACAAGGUCUCCGUUGGUGAACCAGCGGAGGGAUCAUUACUGAGUUCUACAAAACUCCCAACCCUUUGUGAACCUUACCGUCGUUGCCUCGGCGCUGAGCAGCGGCUACUCGGGAACUACCCGGGAGGCUCUACCCUGUAGGGCCUACCUGGGAACUACCCUGUAGUUGCAUCUCCGCCGGUGGACCACACAACUCUGUUUAUACCCAUGUAUCUCUGAAAUAUACAACCAAAAUACGUUAAAACUUUCAACAACGGAUCUCUUGGUUCUGGCAUCGAUGAAGAACGCAGC